GGCGAACGGGUGAGUAACACGUGACCAACCUGCCCCGUACUCCGGGAUAACCAGUGGAAACGCUGGCUAAUACCGGAUACUCUUCGCGGACCGCAUGAUCUGCGAAGGAAAGCCCCGACGGUACGGGAUGGGGGUCGCGGCCCAUUAGGUAGACGGCGAGGUAGAGGCUCACCGUGCCUGCGAUGGGUAGCCGGGUUGAGAGACCGACCGGCCACAUUGGGACUGAGAUACGGGCCCAGACUCCUACGGGAGGCAGCAGUGGGGAAUAUUGCGCAAUGGGGGAAACCCUGACGCAGCAACGCCGCGUGCGGGAUGACGGCCUUCGGGUUGUAAACCGCUUUCAGCAGGGAAGAACCGAUGACGGUACCUGCAGAAGAAGCUCCGGCUAACUACGUG
rnacentral:rRNA from 1 species